rnacentral:rRNA from 1 species
UACGGAGGAUCCAAGCGUUAUCCGGAAUCAUUGGGUUUAAAGGGUCCGUAGGCGGUUUAAUAAGUCAGUGGUGAAAGCCCAUCGCUCAACGGUGGAACGGCCAUUGAUACUGUUAAACUUGAAUUAUUAGGAAGUAACUAGAAUAUGUAGUGUAGCGGUGAAAUGCUUAGAGAUUACAUGGAAUACCAAUUGCUGAAGGCAGGUUACUACUAAUGGAUUGACGCUGAUGGACGAAAGCGUGGGUAGCGAACAGG